GGACCUUUGGCCUUGCACUCUGGUGCUUGGUCAGAACCGCAUAAGCAGGUGAAACUUCUUAGAGGAACUGGCGUCCGAUAAGGCGCACGAGAAAGAGCAAUAACAGGUCUGUGAUGCCCUAAGAUGUCCGGGGCCGCACGCGUGCUACAAUGACGAUGCUACUGAGCAUGAUUAACUUGUCCGAAAGGGCUGGUGAAACUGUUCAAUCAUCGUCGUGACUGGGAUUGGGGUUUGCAAUUGUCCCCCAUGAACCAGGAAUUCCUAGUAAGCACAAGUCAUAAGCUUGUGCUGAUUACGUCCCUGCCCUUUGUACACACCGCCCGUCGCUACUACCGAUUGAAUGGUUUAGCAAGGACAUUGGAUUGAACCUCUGCGGCCUUGCUGCUUGGGUUUAAGAAGAUGUCCGAACUUGAUCAUUUAGAGGAAGUAAAAGUCGUAACAAGGUUUCCGUAGGUGAACCUGCGGAAGGAUCAUUAUCAAGUUUCCUUAAACUAAAACACUAGGCGAUCAAGCUGGUUGAAACCGCCACGCUUGGUCGUGUUUGUGUCUUAAACAGAUUCAUCUGUCGAGGGAUCCGCCCUCAUUCGAUGAAUCGACCUUAUGGUACAGAAAUGGGCUGCGCGGCUCAAGCCAUGGCACUGUUAUGGUUUGUCGCUAGUGCAGUUCAUCUGCCCAUGGUACAAGUGGAAUCGUCUUCGCAGGCUGGCACGCAGGUGGUAACGUGUUGCGUGUUAAGCGGCGUAGAUGUAUAACCGAUCGCUUUUGUCUACUUGUCCGUGCGGUACGUUACGAAGCUUCUCCCUUCGGGUGAGUAUCUGUUGGUCAAUAACAAAACAUGAACCUCGAUCUCUCAUGUGUGCCGCGUGGUUAAGCGAUUUAGCUUGCAUUCAUGCGGGCAGUUGAUGCUCUGGUCUUUUGCUAGCAAAUUUCCUGCGCUAACGUUGAUGCUCUUGCUGUCAAGGUAGCUGUCACUGUUGCUAUUGCUGUCUUCCUCAGGGAUAACGGCGAAGGCGACGGUCACGGUGACCGAGACGGCGAAGGCGUCGAUGUGGGCUUGGACUUUUGGUGGUCUAGGAACAGGCCCGGCUGCCACAUGGAAACAGGCUCUUUUGCGACACUCGUGUCUGCAUGAUAGGUCCGGUGAGCUGACUCCCGUGAGGGUGCUCCGGCGAACCAACCUGUACAA
rnacentral:rRNA from 1 species